UCCCUCUAUGUGCAUGUCUCUGUGUGCAUGCGCAAGCAGAGGGAUGGAGGGGGGGCCUUAGAAAGCUUCGCUGAGAAAGGGACAUGGAUGGUACAAGUUUCAAGCUCUGAAAAAUGGUGCUUGGUCCAUCUAGCAGUCGCUGGCUUCAGCCUGGGCUGCCAAUGAACUCAGUAAAAAGAUUGACUCAGCUUAAAAAGGAACAUGACCUUAGUCUGUACCCUGAACAAUGGUUCAGAAAUGCCUGCCUGGCCACAGGCUGCAGUGACCUGUUGCCACUUGUGAUAGUUGCACUGUGAGCUCUGGGCAGCACCUUUAAGCUCCAUGUUUGUAGUGCACCCUGAAGAGGAUCAAUACCAAUUUUCUGAUGGGUGCUCCCACACAUUGCCACAGCAGAUUUUAAUAGCAGCGCCUGCCUGUGCAGGCAUGAGCAGGGAUGGCACUGCUUUCACCCUGCAAGCUCUGUAAUGACAGGGAGCUGCACUGGCAGCCGUUUUGUCUACAGAAGGGUCACUGGUUCCUGUGGGAAGAACAACAGGCUGUAACUGCUGGUGGAGGCAUCAGUUCAAGCCUCCUGUUUGCUCUCUUUCGGCUGGCAGUAAAAAUAAUUCAGUUUUAGAUAAUAAGGUGCUGUUCUUUCCAUGUGGAAAAAUCGGAAAGGCAUGCAAAACUCUCCCUCUUUUUUCCUGCUAAUUGCCUUGAUUUCUGCUUCCACACUCCCAGCUGCCUCUCCUCUUCAGGUUGCCCUUUUUGACUCCUUGAUUAACUUCUUUGUCCACCCGUUUACCACUUAGGACAUGGCGACCUUUGGAUGUAAAUCUGUGCUGACGUCUCUCCCGCUUGUGUGCUUUUGUCAGGGCUGACAUCUGCAAGGCUCCUUGUAGUGGAGGCGGGAGGGAGCUGGAUGGAUGGGGGUACCAGGCAGUGCCCUCCUCUGCCAGGACUGCUGCACUCCUUCACCCUGUGCUGUCAGCUCCCCAUCCCAAAGCUCAGCACCUUAGCCUAGGAUGCAAAAAACACAGAUUUUGGUCUCCAGCUACCAGGUGACAUGAGCAUAGAUGUAGCCUGCACCUUUUGGGUGUCUGCUGGCUCAGGAUGGACUGCCUGCUGUCACCUCCUAAAGCCACAGUCUUUAUUCAUUAACUGAAUUGGGGCAGGCAUUCUUGGUGAGAAAGCAGAAGCUUGUGUAUGGGCCCAGCCCACAUACACUGCCCUGUUUGAAAUGGGAGGCUUGUUCAUCUUAGGGUUUGGGGGGCUCCUCCAGAGUCAGAGCAAUGCAUUUGGUCCUAAUGUUACCUCAUGUUGAAACAGAUCCUCCCUGAUCUGUUGUCUCUGACAAGCCUUGCAGCUGGGAGGGGGCCAGAGACCAUCACAGAGCCCAGCUGUGCACCUGACAGGUAUGGCCACUGCACCAUUUUCCAGGAGGGCCCUGUAGACUUCUGAGAGAGACACACAGCUCUUUCCCAGGUGAUGUCCCAGGCUAAAUUACAAAGGCAUUAUUUGCUCUGAAGCAAGCUUUAUUCUGUAUGGAAUCUGACUUUGCCUCCUGGGUCACUGUGAUUUUUGGUAGUAUCUCCCAGAUCCUGCUCUGCAGCCUUAUGCAUACCUCCAGGCUCAGCCCAGAGCCUCUAUGAGAGACGUGAGCUGCCAGUUAACAUUCAGCUUUCUAGGACCACGUAGGGCUUUUGCCUUUAACUACACAGGCAGAGGCUCCCUUCCCCCAGCCUUCCACUUAUCCCCAGCACAAUGAGUUCAGACACCUGCAAAACUGAACUUCCAGUGAAGUUGUCCCAGUGCAGGACAAAGGCAUGAGGUGCAGGGACGUGAGGGGCAGGGAAGCAGCUGCAGCAGAGGGGACACAGCUGGAUCCCUGCACACAGCACUGCCUCCCUGCCUGCCCCUUCUUCAUCCUUUUAAAGCCCAUUAGCUGCAAGCAAAGUAGUUUCUUCUUAAACCCCAUGCCUGGCACUACUGCUACCAGGCUAAAGUCUCUGGACAGGCUUCUUGCUUGAAAGCCUCACUGAACAGUAAAGGGAAGUGGUCUCAUUUGAUGUUUAUUCAUUGAGCUCUUUUCCUCUGCUCAGCAUUAUCCAAAUCGAGCAUGACAACUUUGAGGAGGUUGAAAUAAAUGAGCUUUCCCCAUUGGACCUGUGAACACCAGGAAUGGGAGAGCUAAAAAUCCCUGCCUUGUUUCACUGAGAUCGUGGUUUUUCUUGAUUCAUUGGAAGUGGCACACUGAUGACAUUGCUGUCCUGUGGCCAGCUGCUUGAAAGAUUUGGUUUAAAUACUUUCCUGUGCUAUGGUUUUCUUUAACAUAAAAGGAACCAUGAAACAUUGCAACUGCACAAAGUGAUAUGAAGUUGGACCUACAUGCUCAAGAGGUCUGUGACCCUUACAAAGCACUGCAGGCAAACGGUUUUUAAUGAAAUCAUAUGGGAGAUGAGCUUUGUCCAGGGUUUUGUUUGCCUCUUCCCACUCCAGUGAAAGGAAAAAAGAGGACAUACCCUUUCCUUAUUAAAAAAAAAAAAAAGGAGUGGGGGCUGUGUUAAGAGAGAUGCAGAGAGAAAAGAGAGCCAGACUAACGGUGACCUGUGUUCUACCUGAGACUGUCCCAUGGAUUAGCUGAAUUGCGACUGUGAUUUGAUAUGGAAUCUUUCCUGUUCCUAUCACUGAUCUGCUCUGUAUUCCCAUAUGUAAAUGGAAAGAAAAACAAUGAAUAGACAAGAAAAAGGGAGGACAGGUAGAGAGGAGUAGGAGGAUAAUGAGUUAAAAAAUAAAGAAUAAAAGGGUCAUCAAUUCUCAGGCUUCAGGAUUCAGAUCAAUAUUUAUACAUUAAGUUCCAUGAGGAAAUCUGCAGUUGUAUCAUUCAACUGCUUCCAGCAACAUUUCCUGCACUUCCUAUUGGCAUUGGGCAAGUGGAUCUUGUCCAAAAGUACCUGCUUUCCACAGCCCUUGUCCCUAGGUUAUUCAGAAUUAAUUGACUCCCACCGGGCUGGGCUGCAGAUGGAUAGAAGCUUUCUCACAACGUCUGCUCGGGCUCAGCAUGGGGGCAGGCAGGCGGGCCGGCUUCCUCCUCCUCCUCUUCCUCCACUUUCCUCUUCUGGAGCAUUAUGCUAUUGGCACUGGGGAGAGUUUUGUGUGUGCGUGUGUGUGUCCCCGUCUCUGAGAGGGAGAGAUGCUUGAAGAAAGAAAGGGAUAUGCAAAGAUUAAAGUCACAAGCCCCUCUUCAGCCCUGGCCUGCGCAGACACUUUUAUGUGAUUAGGAAUGCUUUGCUUUCAAGGGUUUGCUUUUAAGCCUUGAGCUUCUCUUGAACUUCUCCAAUAAGAAAACAAACAGCAGUGUCAAAGCCUCCCCCUGUGCCUGGAAUUUGAGCUCAAGUCGUGUCAUUAAAAAGCCACUUCGCUACUGGGACUUUGGCAUCUGAGUCACUGUUUCAAAGCCAGUCUGGGGCAGGAGAGAUCGAAAGUCAUUAAACAUCUAGUGGCUGUUUUGGUGGCCUAUUGAAAAAUGAAGUUUGGAAGGUUUCAGGGCCACCAGGAGGACACAGAACAAAUGCCGCCACCUGA